CGUAACAAGGUCUCCGUAGGUGAACCUGCGGAGGGAUCAUUACACAAAUAUGAAGGCGGGCUGGAACCUCUCGGGGUUACAGCCUUGCUGAAUUAUUCACCCUUGUCUUUUGCGUACUUCUUGUUUCCUUGGUGGGUUCGCCCACCACUAGGACAAACAUAAACCUUUUGUAAUUGCAAUCAGCGUCAGUAACAAAUUAAUAAUUACAACUUUCAACAACGGAUCUCUUGGUUCUGGCAUCGAUGAAGAACGCAGCGAAAUGCGAUAAGUAGUGUGAAUUGCAGAAUUCAGUGAAUCAUCGAAUCUUUGAACGCACAUUGCGCCCUUUGGUAUUCCAAAGGGCAUGCCUGUUCGAGCGUCAUUUGUACCCUCAAGCUUUGCUUGGUGUUGGGCGUCUUGUCUCUAGCUUUGCUGGAGACUCGCCUUAAAGUAAUUGGCAGCCGGCCUACUGGUUUCGGAGUGCAGCACAAGUCGCACUCUCUAUCAGCAAAGGUCUAGCAUCCAUUAAGCCUUUUUUUCAACUUUUGACCUCGGAUCAGGUAGGGAUACCCGCUGAACUUAAGCAUAUCA
rnacentral:rRNA from 1 species